UUUCUACUGGCUUGGGAGACACUAACCCUAACCCGCAAGGUGUUUCUCCUGGGUGAGACUCACACCACUGCACUCCGGAGACGCUGAUCCACGCGGGUUCUCCAAAUGUGGGGACCUCGGCGGCACAAUCUAUGGUAUCGGCGGACUGCAGCAAUACACUU
ensembl:snRNA U1 U1 spliceosomal RNA